CCUCGCACAAAUCUGAAACCUCCUCUCUCUCUCUCUCUCUCUCUCUCUCUCUCUCUCAUUCCCAGCCGCCACUCCAGACUCACUACCCUGACUCGCUCGACUCGUCACCGCGCUCCCUCAACACCGACUCCUUGGACGACCCUCUCCCGCCGGCGUCCAGGCUCUGGCUGAUGUGCAGCUACGGCGGCCACAUCGUGCCGCGGCUGCACGACAAGUCGUUGUGGUACGUCGGCGGCGACACUCAAAUCGUCGUCAUGGACAGGAACACUUCGCUCGCGGACCUCUCGAAUUGGCGAUGCUCAACCGUGGCUUCUCCGACUCUGCCUUCGUUAACUGUUUGCUCGGCUUAGACUACGGUGGCGGCGGCGGUGCCGAUACAAUUCAGAUUCAAGAGGAGGAGACGCAGAGGCUUAUGCGGCGGCGAAUUGCAGGAUCAGAAGUCGUUUGGGUGAACAUCGUCGUCUCCGUCGCUGGCGAAUUUGCCUCCGAUUCGGGUCCACGUGGAAGACGGCGGUGGGAAUAGAGCACAGGAUCAGGAUCAGAAGGUUGGGAUUGGAGCAGUUUGCUCAGAUGACGAACGAUCCGAUCACGGUGGAUAUCGGAAACUGCUUCCUCCUCAGCCUCAGCAACAGAGUCUACCUCCUCAGUCGCAGCCCAAAUCUACUGGAAUUUUUGAUUUGCCGUCGCCAGAUUCAGUGUCAAUUGAUCAUAGUUUAUCAAAUCCUGCCAUAUCUCGCCCAAAACCUGUAAUUUAUCAAGAACCAGUAGCUCAAAUACUCGUUGUAACCCCCACAAGGUUCUGAGAGAGUGUGGAGUUUGGUUGACGUGGUGGGUAGUGGGAGCUUGUGAGCAGAGAUUCAUGGUGGCCGGCCGGUGUUCAUGGUGGCUGGGAAUCUCAGAGAGGAGGUUUCAGAUUUGUGCGAGAGAGAGAGGAGAGAAAAUAAGAGAAAAAAAAAUUAGAAAUUAGAUUAAAUUUGAAAUGUCCAUUUUGCCCUUCUUGUGGGUUCAAAAUCAGAAAUGUGAGACCUCCUUGUCUGCU